GACGAACGCUGGCGGCGCGCUUAACACAUGCAAGUCGAGCGAGAACCUGGGCUUCGGCCCUGGGGACAGCGGCGAACGGGUGAGUAACACGUGGGUAAUCUGCCCUCGGCAUCGGGAUAGCCCGGGGAAACCCGGAUUAAUACCGGAUAGCCUCCGGAGCCUUCGGGCGCCGGAGAAAAGGUAGCUUCGGCCUCUGGCCGAGGAUGAGCCCGCGGCGGAUUAGCUUGUUGGCGGGGUAACGGCCCACCAAGGCGACGAUCCGUAGCUGGUCUGAGAGGACGAUCAGCCACACUGGGACUGAGACACGGCCCAGACUCCUACGGGAGGCAGCAGUGGGGAAUCUUGCGCUAAUGCGGGAAACCGUGACGCAGCGACGCCGCGUGGGGGAAGAAGGCCUUCGGGUUGUAAACCUCUUUCAGGAGGGACGAAGCUACUCGGGUUAAUAGCCCAGAGGGUGACGGUACCUCCAGAAGAAGCCCCGGCUAACUACGUGCCAGCAGCCGCCGUAACAC
rnacentral:rRNA from 1 species